GCGGAGCUGCGGGGUGGGCGCGGGCGCAUGAGCCGCGCCGGGGUCGGGGCCCUCCGGCGUCCGAGCGUCCGGGGAGGCGGCCGCGGCGCUGGUCUGCCCGGGGCGCUGCGUGCGUGCGCGCCGGAGGGAGCCCGAGUGUGUGUGCGUGUGUCUGUGCGUAUGUGUGCCCGUGUGUGCCCGUGUGUGUGUGUCUGUGUGUGUGUGUGUGCGCGCGCGCGCGCGCGUGGCAGCCCCGCUCUGGCGGGAGGGCCGCGGGGGGCGGGGGCCGGGCUACGCGGAGGCCCGGCCUCCCUCCCUCCCUCCUUUCUUCCCUCCCUCCCGCAGCCUCUCGGGCUCGCCACCUCCCGCCUGGUCCCCAGCCAGCUGGCGAGGCGGCCGCGGCGGCUCCCGCUGCAGACCGAGCGCAGCUCAGGGCGCACGCGGAGGGAGCCCGGGAGGGGCGGCCAGUGCCGCCGGGGAGGGGGCUGGCGGAGGAGGGUGGAGGACUGGGUGUAGCCCUAGUGAGGGUGGGGGCGGAGCCACCAGCAGGUUUCAGCGGGGGAUGGGAGGAUAAAUGAGGCUGCUUGGGUCUUUUUAGCCCAGCUCCCCGAGAACGCAUGAAGCCACGCGGGGCGGCGAGUUUGAGGGACCUGGGGCUGGAGAAAGAAACGGGAUUCAGCCAAGAAGGCAGACAGGCGGCUUACGGGAGAGAAGAGAUCGGGCGGAGAGAGGGGAGCGCAAGGGGAGGGGGCUGUGGGCACCCGGGAGCACGGUGGCACCCGCAGUUCCACCAGAAGCCACCCGGCGCGAGCGCGGGCGCGUGUCACUGGCCUGGGGCACCUCCUUGUCCCAAGGUGGGGUCCCUAGGGCCGCCUCAGCUCCCGCGAGCGUCGCAGGCCGGGUGGCCCAGCACCUGCCAACCUGAGUCGUUCCCUCGGAGAGCGCUGAGGAUGGCACAGGCCGCCAGUCUUGGGGUUGGGCCCUCAGGGGAGGGCGCUGCAUUCCCCCUUGCCUGCCCCCUCCCUGUUGCUUUUCAGAGAAACACUCCUUGGCUCCCUGAGGCUGGGCGCAGGGAGCACCCGGAACGCAAUCCAAUGCGCCGCGCAACGACGGCCCCUCUCUGGACGAGCCUUGCGAGGGUACAGGAGGCUCUGACCGGGGUGCAGCUAUUCCUUGCGUCCAGAGAGGAAGCCUCGCCCUGAUUUAUCCUCUUGCCGUUUCAGCUUCCUUUGCUCUUUUGUCCCCGUGCCCCCCGCCCCCAUCUCCCUUCAGGGCGUUGAGGGGGUUUCUCUCGACCACCAGCCACCUAAUCUCCCUGAGCAGUGGAGCUCGAAAUGGGUAGGCAGAAGCCGCGGAGAAGCCCCCACCCCCACCUCCCCUUCUCUGGGUCAGGCGACCUCCCUUGGACCUCAGCCAAGGAAGAGAUGGAGACUUGGGGGAAGGGACGCCCCCCGGCGGCGGGUCAAGAGACGGGCCUGAGGUGGGCCAUGGGCGUUGCAGAGUAGGUCCAGGGAAUCAACUCUCGCGCCCCUCGCGGGCUUCCGGAGCACUGGCCCAUUUGGGUCGCCCCCUUUAGCCGUGUCUUGGGCUCGCCGUCCGCAGGACCGAGCGAGUCUGGGAACGCAGUGCCUCACCGAGACUCCACCCCGUUUCUGGAACUCGCAGGUGCUUGCGCACCCGGCCCCACCGGAGAAGGGGGCCAGCGCUGUGGGCGACUUUUGGGCAGUCGGGUCUCCGCUGGGUCUGCAGGCGCCCUUGGGCACGGGGACGGGGAGCCCCACCCUAAGCAGGCGCUUUCCCCAGAAUACAUUUUGGAAACCGAAGCCCCCGCGCUCGCGAAUGAGUCUGGCCGCCCGGUGAGUCACCGCGAGCGGGCGACAAGGAUUCCCAGCAGCUGGUAAUUAAUUGCUCUGUGGCUCGGCCCACGACGGAACCCCAGUCGGGCCUCCCGCCGCCCUGCAGCGGCGCCACCCCUGAGUCACAGCCGUCGGGCCUCCGCCGUCCGGAAGCGGCCUGCGCGCCUGGGCGCCACCAGGGGGCACUGGACUCCGACCCACAGGUCGCCCCGCUUUGAGCCAACGCUGCGCAGGGAAGUCCAGGCUGUCCCCGCUGGCAGAUAGGAACACUUCCAACCGGAGAAGGUCACGUGCUCGGGGACGCAAGGCAGUUCCCAUCUAGAACCAGCUCUUGAACCGUCUCCCGGCUUCUGUCCAGCGCUCCACGGACCCAGCAGCCUUCCGACCCCAAGGUGGAAGUGAGCUCCUUGGAGCAGAGCCUGGCUCCUGACAUCUUCCCUGUGUCCCCAGCAGCCAUCCCCAAGGCAGUUGCCCAGCUAGCACUGUGGGUUGCUGCCACAAGACAGUCUACAAAGAGGUCAGGCUGCUGACAGUGCCUCUGGGGAGCCCACCUCCCUCUCUGCCUCUGGUUGUGGGAGCAUCAACUCCAGCCCAACUGGAGGAGGAUUCAGAGCUCAGGUGUGGCCAAUCAGAGCCCGGGAUUCCCCAUGGCCACAGUGAUUGGCUGGGUGUGGCUCAUCUCUCCACCAGUGAAAACCCUGGGAAAGCAUUUCUAAGAGGAGCCUGGUGGAGGGAGGGAGGCAGGUCCCAAGGCUGCAGGCCCACGGGGCAGCAAGAGCCACGCCUGGAGGGGAGCAAACGCAUUCUCUUCUCCUCCGCUUAGGCCACUGGGAGUUGGUCCCAAUCUAGACGCGUGCCGCUGGUGCCAGGAAGCUGGCAGCCUGUCUGAGCUCCUCCAGCAGUCUGUCCCUGGGCCUCCCUGGACCUCAGUGUCUUCUUUCGUAAAAACAGAUUUAUCUGAUUAGAUAAUAAAGAACAUCGUGGUUUUAUAA